CACGUAGGGGACGAGCGUUGUCCGGAUUCAUUGGGCGUAAAGCGCGCGUAGGCGGCUCGGAAAGUCGGGCGUGAAAUGCUGGGGCUCAACCCCGGGACUACGUCCGAUACUUCCGAGCUGGAGGUAGGUAGGGGAGAGUCGGAAUUCCUGGAUUGUGAGCGGUGGAAAUACGGCAGAUAUCAGGAGGAACACCGGUGGCGAAGGCGGAUCUCUGGGCCUUACCUGACGCUGAGGCGCGAAAGCUAGGGGAGCGAACAGG
rnacentral:rRNA from 1 species